rnacentral:rRNA from 1 species
AUUGAACGCUGGCGGCAGGCUUAACACAUGCAAGUCGAGCGGGGGAAGGUAGCUUGCUACCGGACCUAGCGGCGGACGGGUGAGUAAUGCUUAGGAAUCUGCCUAUUAGUGGGGGACAACAUCUCGAAAGGGAUGCUAGUACCGCAUACGUCCUACGGGAGAAAGCAGGGGAUCUUCGGACCUUGCGCUAAUAGAUGAGCCUAAGUCGGAUUAGCUAGUUGGUGGGGUAAAGGCCUACCAAGGCGACGAUCUGUAGCGGGUUUGAGAGGAUGAUCCGCCACACUGGGACUGAGACACGGCCCAGACUCCUACGGGAGGCAGCAGUGGGGAAUAUUGGACAAUGGGGGGAACCCUGAUCCAGCCAUGCCGCGUGUGUGAAGAAGGCCUUAUGGUUGUAAAGCACUUAAAGCGAGGAGGAGGCUACUCUAGUUAAUACCUAGGGAUAGUGGACGUUACUCGCAGAAUAAGCACCGGCUAACUCUGUGCCAGCAGCCGCCGUAA